rnacentral:lncRNA from 1 species
UCAUACCCUACCAAAAGAUAAAGAGAUGUUGGAAGCAAGCAAGAAGGAAAAAAAAACAAACCAAAGGAUGAAGCCGACGGGGAAAGUUGGCCUCGUCGACAGGCCAUUCUGUCGACCGACGCAAGGUUUGGGACUUAAAGAAUUAUAGUCAAAUGAGCAGAAGACAACAUCGCUCUAACGUCUGGGCGGGAGAAAUUUGAAAUUUAAAAUAAACAGCAGUUUCAAAAGG